CACGUAGGCACCAAGCGUUGUCCGGAUUUAUUGGGCGUAAAGAGCUCGUAGGCGGUUCAGUAAGUCGGGUGUGAAAACUCUGGGCUCAACCCGGAGACGCCACCCGAUACUGCUGUGACUUGAGUUCGGUAGGGGAGUGGGGAAUUUCUAGUGUAGCGGUGAAAUGCGCAGAUAUUAGAAGGAACACCGGUGGCGAAGGCGCCACUCUGGGCCGUAACUGACGCUGAGGAGCGAAAGCAUGGGGAGCGAACAGG
rnacentral:rRNA from 1 species